CGGUGUACCACUUGCUGGGGAUCACUCUCUAGGAUCACCCUAAGAAGACAAAGAAGAGACCAUCGUUCACUCUGGCCUGAAGGACAGACUCAUUGUGGGGAUACUCUGGUCACUAAGGCCACUUGCCUUAGGACAGAGGCAACGAUCCCACCCUCUCACCCCAGCUCCAAGGAGGUUCCAGGCAGGUCAGAAAACUCACCCUCCAUCUACGAUUUCAUCCACAGCCAAGAAGAGACCCUCCAUGUUCUCCAGCAAAGCUCGCUUUUCUACAUUUUUCCUGAGUCCCCAAGAGAAGAGAAAAAUCAGCCUAAGACACAUAGGAACCUAGCACACCGUCUGAGUUAGGGAUCCUAAACUAGACCAACAAAAUGCCUCCACCAACCGCACAGACUAAAAAGUAAGUUAAAUGUCAAGAAUGGCCUGCUCACCUCAGCAUCUGGCUCAAUGAGUCAAAGAGGCAAUUCAGAACAGCCAUGAGCAUCAGCUGUUGGGAGACAGGAGAAGCAGAAGGAUAAGGUUCAAGGCCCUGAAAGCUGCUACCUGAAAACAAAACCUGCCAAUUCAUUAAGCAUCAAAAGACAUGGGCUUUCACAAAGGACCAAAAGCAUAAGGUGGAAAUCAGAGCAAAAACAGGAAGAGGAACUGUGGUUUCUCGCAGAAAUUAAUUCUGCUACACGAUCCCACAAUUUGAGACCUCUCUCUGACCAGACUGUUCAAACUUUCCUAUUGCAGUCCUCUACAGGUCUUUACCAACUGCGUAUAUGUUACCAGAGAUCUUAGGUAAAGAAAUCAUUAACCAAACAGUAACUAAGGUCAGAGAGUUAGUGGAAAGAGUAUGGACUUUGGAGUCAGACAGAGUUGGGCUUAAAUCCCAGCUGAGCCAUUUCUAUAUGUGUGACCCUGGGAAAGUUAUUAGGUUGAACCAUAUGAAACUGCCAUUUAUAUAGUUCAAUGGUGGUCAUAUGCAAGCAAUUUCAUAUUGUUCCUCAUGUUUUGGUUUCCUCAUCUAUAAAACAAGAACACUAAUACCCACAACUCACAUAAGUGCUGUAAGGAUUAGGUAACAAUGUACCUUACAAAGCACUUAAAGUAGUAAAAGCUCAGAAAGAA